AUGGAUGGACUUAUUUCUGAAUGGGAUCUGAAUAGUGAUUCUGUUGCCAUCUUUGCGACCCAAACCUAUUUUAUUCUUUUAAUUCCAGAAGCUGGUGAGCUUGGAGGAGGUGGCUGUAUAUUUCACCAUGGAACAGUGGACAUUGCUGGAUCCAUGGUGUCAUGGAAGCUAAACUGGAAGAAUGUAAUGUGCCUGGGUGGAGAACCCAUGACCCUCCCAGUGAAUUAUCAUUCCAUAUCAUCUCCCACCGUUGGCUGACGGAAACCGGGGUCCAAGAAUAUGUGAAGACUUCUAUGUCUUGAAAUGCAAAGUAACUUGUUUUUAGGUUUUUAGAAGUAAACGUAAGCAAGACCAAGUCACUUUGUGGUCUGUGUGUGUGUUGAAGUCUUGAUUGAUGGAGUUCUGUGUUUUUGUUUGUUCGUUUCUUUCUUUUGCUCCUUUUUCCAACUCUGCAGAGUUCAAAUAAACUUUGAAUGUUAAUGAUAAAUGCA
rnacentral:lncRNA from 1 species